rnacentral:rRNA from 1 species
CAGCAGCCGCGGUAAUACGGAGGGGGCUAGCGUUGUUCGGAAUUACUGGGCGUAAAGCGCACGUAGGCGGACUGGAAAGUCAGAGGUGAAAUCCCAGGGCUCAACCUUGGAACUGCCUUUGAAACUAUCAGUCUGGAGUUCGAGAGAGGUGAGUGGAAUUCCGAGUGUAGAGGUGAAAUUCGUAGAUAUUCGGAGGAACACCAGUGGCGAAGGCGGCUCACUGGCUCGAUACUGACGCUGAGGUGCGAAAGCGUGGAGAGCAAACAGGAUUAGAUACCCGCGUAGUCCCUGUCUCUUAUAC